rnacentral:siRNA from 1 species
CCAAUUAGAAUGUGCCAC